rnacentral:rRNA from 1 species
AGCGAACGCUGGCGGCAGGCCUAACACAUGCAAGUCGAACGAACCCUUCGGGGUUAGUGGCGGACGGGUGAGUAACACGUGGGAACGUGCCUUUAGGUUCGGAAUAACUCAGGGAAACUUGUGCUAAUACCGAAUGUGCCCUUCGGGGGAAAGAUUUAUCGCCUUUAGAGCGGCCCGCGUCUGAUUAGCUAGUUGGUGAGGUAAAGGCUCACCAAGGCUACGAUCAGUAGCUGGUCUGAGAGGAUGACCAGCCACAUUGGGACUGAGACACGGCCCAAACUCCUACGGGAGGCAGCAGUGGGGAAUCUUGCGCAAUGGGCGAAAGCCUGACGCAGCCAUGCCGCGUGGAUGAUGAAGGCCUUAGGGUUGUAAAGCUCUUUUAUCCGGGACGAUAAUGACGGUACCGGAGGAAUAAGCCCCGGCUAACUUCGUGCCAGCCGCCGCAGUAAAAC